rnacentral:rRNA from 1 species
AUACGUAGGUGGCAAGCGUUGUCCGGAUUUACUGGGUGUAAAGGGCGCGUAGGCGGGAAUACAAGUCAGAUGUGAAAUCUGUGGGCUUAGCCCACAAACUGCAUUUGAAACUGUAUUUCUUGAGUAUCGGAGAGGCAGGCGGAAUUCCAAGUGUAGCGGUGAAAUGCGUAGAUAUUUGGAGGAACACCAGUGGCGAAGGCGGCCUGCUGGACGACAACUGACGCUGAGGCGCGAAAGCGUGGGGAGC